rnacentral:rRNA from 1 species
AUACGGAGGGUGCAAGCGUUAUUCGGAAUCACUGGGCGUAAAGGGUGCGUAGGCGGCUUGAUAAGUCUGAUGUGAAAUCCUAUGGCUCAACCAUAGAACUGCAUUGGAAACUGGCAGACUAGAAUACUGAAGGGGCAGAUGGAAUUAGUGGUGUAGGGGUAAAAUCCGUAGAUAUCACUAGGAAUACCGAAAGCGAAAGCGAUCUGCUGGGAAGUUAUUGACGCUGAGGCACGAAAGCGUGGGGAGCAAACGGGAUUAGAAACCCUAGUAGUCC